rnacentral:rRNA from 1 species
AGCGAACGCUGGCGGCAGGCCUAACACAUGCAAGUCGAACGAACCCUUCGGGGUUAGUGGCGGACGGGUGAGUAACACGUGGGAACGUGCCUUUAGGUUCGGAAUAACUCAGGGAAACUUGUGCUAAUACCGAAUGUGCCCUUCGGGGGAAAGAUUUAUCGCCUUUAGAGCGGCCCGCGUCUGAUUAGCUAGCUGGUGAGGUAACGGCUCACCAAGGCAACGAUCUUUAACUGGUCUGAGAGGAUGAUCAGUCACACUGGAACUGAGACACGGUCCAGACUCCUACGGGAGGCAGCAGUAGGGAAUAUUGCACAAUGGAGGAAACUCUGAUGCAGCGACGCCGCGUGAGUGAUGUAGGCCUUCGGGUUGUAAACCUCUUUUAGUAGGGAAGAAGCGAAAGUGACGGUACCUGCAGAAAAAGCACCGGCUAACUACGUGCCAGCCGCCGCCGUAACAC